AUUUUGUGGUUCAGAGAAGGUUCUAGAAAAAGGACUGAGUGGCGGUGCUGGCUGAGACUCGGCUCAGCCGUUGAGUUUCUUUAGAUUCAGAGCGAACUUUACGCUGAAUACAAGGCAUUUGAGUUGAAGUACAGUUAUUUUUCAAACAUUUCUUUCGAAGAGGAUGGAGAACAGGGAUAAGGAGCAGUACCGCAAGCUGUUUAUAGGUGGCCUCAGUUUUAAUACAGCAGAAGAAAAUUUAAGAAGCCACUUUGAGCAAUGGGGAAAGCUUACCGACUGUGUGGUCAUGAGGGAUCCUCAAUCCAAAAAAUCAAGAGGAUUCGGAUUUGUGACAUUUUCUACUGCAGAAGAAGUUGAUGAUGCAAUGGCUGCCAGACCUCAUAAAAUAGAUGGUCGUGUGGUGGAGCCUAAAAGAGCAGUUGCAAGAGAAGAAUCUGGGAAACCAGGUGCUCAUUUAACUGUGAAGAAACUAUUUGUUGGUGGAAUAAAAGACGACACUGAUGAACAUCAUCUCAGAUCAUAUUUUAAGAACUAUGGAAAAAUAGAAACCAUUGAAGUAAUAACUGAUCGGCAAAGUGGAAAAAAGAGAGGAUUUGCAUUUGUAACAUUCGAUGACCAUGAUCCAGUGGACAAAAUAGUCCUUCAAAAAUACCAUUAUGUAAAUGGACACAAUGCAGAAGUGAGAAAAGCUCUGUCUCGUCAGGAAAUAAUGGAUGCACAAAAUAACCGGAUGGGACGAGGAGGUGGUGGUGGAUUUAGAGGAGAUGGUCGUGGUGGCAAUUAUCCUAUGGGACGUGGUGGAAACUUCGGAGGUGGCCCUACAGAUGGAUUUGGAGGUGGUCGUGGUUUUGGCGAUGGUCCUGGUUUCAAUGGUUAUGGUGGAGGUAGUGGUAACUUUGGCGGUGGCCCUGGAUAUGGUGGAGGAUUUGGCCAUCAGGGUGGUGGCUAUGAUGGUGGAAAUUAUGGAGGAAAUUUUGGUGGUGGUGGUAACUUCAAUGAUUUUGGAAAUUACAAUCAUCAGAAUUCUAAUUUUGGACCAAUGAAAGGUGGAAACUUUGGAGGUAGAAAUAUGGGUGGACCAUAUGGAGGAAACUAUGGUGGAGGAGGAGGAUUUGGUGGCCGCAACAGAUAUUAAUUUAACAACAACCCAUUCCAAGGUUUCUGAAGGUGGGUGUUGAUUGUCCACUGGAUCUUAAAGUGAGAGCUGCCAGUCUUCAUUCCACAUGUGAUCAGAACCAUCCUCAGCCAGCAUCUGACCUCUGUCAACUGGUCUGAGCUGCACUGAAACUGAAAUCACAGUGGUGAGGGCAGUGAUCUUGGCUGUAAGCCACAUGAUGAAUUUUGGUCUCUACUGAAGUAGGAAGUGAAACAGAAUUCUCUGGAUCGUGAGAAUUUUUGAGGAUGCUGAGUUCUUUGAAUUAAUAGCUUUUUCAUUCAUGGCAGGUUUUAAAGGUGGUUUUGUCCAGAAAGCUCCCAAUUUAGUGAUUUUAAAAAAGCCGGUGGCAAUUGAGUUGCUACUUUCUCUUUAACAUUGCAGUAUUUAUAGACUAUACAAUUUGUGUAUGGAUGGGAGUGGCAGACACAAGCAUGGAAAAUUAUUGAGCUUCAAGCUAAGGGGAUACUAAAACAAUAAUCAGGAAGUUGUUCAUAUUGGGUAAUAAAAAUAAGGAGUGGCCUUGUCGAUGAGAGUAAUGAAAACCUGAGACAUUUGGAUCCUGCUGAUGUGCUAGGAGAUAGCAAUAGAAUUACAACUUCUAAUUUACAUUUCUGCCGAAAUGUGGAAGCCAGACAACGGAUAGUUUUCAUGAAUACAUCUGCCUUCAGGAUAAAUGUUGAAAAUUAUUGAAAUGCUCAAAAAUUGGUUAAUUUGGACCACUUUGUGUACUAAGACUUGUACGACGAUCCUCUUGGUGUAGAGUUUGUGAUUACUUUCCUUAGUGUGUGUAUUGGCAUAAUUGACUGAGUUUUCCAUGACACUGAAGAAUUUGGCUUUGUUACACCAAUAAAUUUGUCAUUGGCUUGAAAAUGGUACUUUUAAAACCUGCUGUGUAUGGAUUUGUGCUGCAGGAAUAAUGGAGAACCUUGAUGGUUGAGGGACAGAAAUCUAUUUGAGAAAUAAAUAUAUGAACCACUAGGCGUUCUAAUAGUUGGGUCUUACUGACCCUAGGAAUUUUUGGAAAAUUAUUAAGACUGUUGAAAUUUGCAAGUGCUAUUUUUCCUUGCUUGAGUAGAUUUGCUUGCCUACAAUUGUGCUUCUGUGUUAGUUUGCACUAAUAUCUUUAAAAAUAUAAUAAUCUGACAAAUGAAAUGUGUCAUCUUGGGUGGAGCUUGGAGAAAUGUUGCAUCAGUUUUGAGAAUACAAGAUAGGGAGGUUUAUGAUCAAUGUCACAAAUACCUAUAGGAUUCUGGUUCUUGUUCCCAGGUUUUAUGAUGGCUUGGAAUAUCUAAGUAAUGUAAGUAUUGUCAAAUUGGUGUCUGGUAAAGGGCAUACUUUCAUCAUGCAAAUAUUAAAGGGUACUCAGAACUUAAAUCAGUACUAUCAACCAGAUGCAUAAUUGUGGAAAGGUGAGUGAAAUUAUUUUGUUGUUAAAAGUAAUUCAAGUUAAACCUAGGUUAUAACCACUAUUUAUGAACGUAUAUAAUUUGUGUUGAUAAGUUGGCCUGAGGGACAGAAGACAACUAUAUCUUAGCUGAAGCUUGGAUAACAGUAACAACAGUUUGUGGCUACUUAUAGUACUUCAUAUAAGUAAAUAUAUUCUAUUGUGCAAUUAGCAUCUGAACUAUUACUUUUAAAUUUGGGAUUCAACUGAAUACUGAAAAUUAAAAAUCGUGAUGUCAUCUAUGAAAAUUCCUGAUAGGAUUGCCUACACUUAAGGCCAGAAUGCACUCUUUUUUUUCCCCUAGAUGAGCUUCCCACCGGCUCAGAUUAUAUUUUAUAAUCUAUAAAACUAGAUUUUAUUUAUUAAAUCAUAUUCCUUGUGGCUUGAGAGCAGAAUGAAUGGGGUGCGAUUUCAAAGGGCAGAUGUAAUACCAAGAUCUGAAGUUUUCUGUACUUUGGUUACACAAUAUAUGGAAUGCCUUUUAAUCUGAAUGUAUCUACUUUGGAAUUAAUUGACUUGUGCAUUAAAAUCUAAAAUUCAACAUUGCAAAGGAAUGUAAAUGUGCAAGUGGAAAUGUGGCCCGUACAUUGAGCUAACUGAAUGUAGCACGAUUUGUGGAACAGCAGUGAUUUGGGCACAGCCUGUAGAGAGGGUGAUAUUUGGAAGUAGACUGGGCAGACCACUUCAUUGAUUAUUUAAAGUAGUUACUUGUGGCAGUGCCCCACUAAGAGCUCCUAAACCUUGUAACUUGGGGAUAAUGUCAGAAGUCCCAAGUGGAAGCAUACCACAGCCUGUGCUGGGCAGUUCUGUGAUUGCAAAAUUCUAUUUUGAAAGUGGCUAAAAGAAUUUUCUGCAUUAUUUUAUAAUCUUUUAUAUUGGUGAUUUGUUGUUCUCCUUAUUCAGUUGACUUUGUUGCUGUGCCUCACCUGUCUCUUUCCUCUUCAGCUUCAGUGAGACUAUUUUCUUUGCUCUUGUUUGCUUCAGGAAUUCCCAAAGAAUGAUUCUCUUGAAUUCAUCUAUACCAGGGGUUCCCAACAUUUUUUUUUAAUGCCAUGGACCAAUACCUUAAGCAAGAGGUCAGUGGACCCCAGAUUUGGAACCCUGAUCUGUAGGGAAUCUUAGCCAACUUGUACACUGACUUUGUUUCCAUUGUGGGACGUAAUAGGUACAGCAGGAUAUAUUUUGGCCAUUUAACAAGAUGAUCUAUUUUAUGCAUUUUUUGUCUUCAUUUGCUGACUUCCUUAAUUUCUAGUGAUCUAUUUUAAAUGAACUCUUCCACUGCCUUCUGGGAUAAAGAAUUCCAAAUAAUUGUCACCUAUGAUGUGAAGAAGUUUCUUCAUCCUUUAAAUUCUUUAUUCUGUGACUGGUUUACUUUGUAGUAAAAAGUCUUUCAGUUUUUCAACACCAUUGUGAUUUAAAAACUAGUAUACUAUUAACUUUCCUGAUAGCUUGCUGUGGCUGCAUGUUGGUUUUAAGUGAAUGUGCAAGGAUAUUCCCUCAUGAAUAUAAUGUUAACCAGUCUCAAGAGAUACUGUUCUGUUAUAUACUACAAAGAAGGUGACCUCAGGUUUUGCUAGGUUAUACUGGUUCUUACCCACUCACUCAGCUUGCCUAAAUUCCCCUAUUCUCCAUGCCAUCCAGUAUAGUAUCAUCAGCAAACCUGGAGGUAGCAGAGAUCAAAUGCUCUGUGGCUUAGAUUAUGAAUAACUGGUACUUCAGCAUGAAUAUAGAUCUUCCAUUGCCAGAUAAUCUGAGCGCUCUUUGUUUAGUAUUCCAUUGGCUGAGAGAUCCUCCAGGCCAUUCUAAGAAAGUCAGAAGUCAGCUGGAGCUCAGAAGUAUUGAUAUUUUUCAUUUGUGUUCUCAUCCUUGGGCCUUCUGUAUUUCUCCUAGAUGACAGAGUAAAUUUGGACACGUUAAUGACUGAUUAAAUAGAAUCAAGUGAGUUAUGUUUCCACUACUGAUUAGGUCUAGUGGCAUAUAUUAAGUGUUGAUGGUGGGUCUGGGUAAUCAUGCAUUCAAGAAAUCAGAAUGGAUCCUUUGGGGCAUUAUUCUCUCAGUUGAAGGGUUUUUCAAAAAAAGUACUCAUUGAUGUUGGUUGCUAUAUAAUGAUAAAGUGUAACUGCUGAGUAUAAAAUUUUAGGUCAACAGUGCAGAAAAAUAAUACUGGAUUUAUGUGAACUGCAGUGUUGGAGGAGGGUAAAGAGUGCUAUGAUUAGAUUAUACUUACUGGUAAAAGCAUAGAACACCAGUGCAGUAAUGCCACAAACACAUUGCUAUGUAUGGACAACAGCAUUUAGUCUAGGCUGAUACUGCCUCAGAAAUGGUAAAUAUAAUGGGAUGUAGAAAUUACUGAUUUGAAAACAGUUGAAUUAAGAUGAAUUCUUUUGCUAUUUUUAUAGAAAAUAUAUUUGCAGGCAUCUUUCUCAAUAAGAUAUCUGGGUGUCCUGUUUUUCACCCGGUAUAAUCUGUAGUGGAAACAAUCCAAACCUGAAUUGAACAAGACUGGCCUGAAUAAAGCCAAUUUAUAAAAAAUGACAUUUAAAGUCUAAACCUUUACAGGAUACUCUUCAAGUUAGGUGGCAGUGCCUGGAAUUCUUUAUACAAUGCUAUGCUUGAGGCAGAACUUAUUUUUAGAUGAUGUUUGCAUUCAGCAGCAUUCUAACCUUGUAGAUAACAGAUGACUCCCUGUGUUCGAACUGUUUGGGUAAUGGAAAUUCAUUGAGAAUUUGCAAAUCGCUACUGAAGAUUUUGAGAGAAUAAUGUUCAGUUGAUAUGAAGGUGGGAAAUAAGAAAAUACAAAUUUUCAACUUGUUUAUUGACACAUGAUACUGUUAAGGAAAGCCAUGAUAUGGAUAGUUUACUGGAAAUAUAAAAACUUGUACUGCAAUAUGGUAAUUUUCAAAUAAUUUAACUUUUAAUUUUUUCAUUUUAAAAAAUUUCCUAUUUGCCCUGCAAUUGAAAUUGAGACAGAUUUUGGGUCCUAUACCUGGGUCUGACUGGUACUAGGAUCUCAAUCAUACAAGUAUAUAUGUGUGAGUCGGCAUUUUUGAGAGACAACAUUGGGGUUGCAUGUGACACAUCCUGGAAUUCUAAACAGAAUGAGCAUUUGCAAUGCACUGUUAAAACAUUUGUUUGAGGGCUGAAUGCCAGCAGUUGCCUUUUGGAAUCAUGAACCUCCCGACAGCACAAUUCAACCCAAGAAAACAGUAGCAAAUGGGGAAAAAAAUGCAGUCAACUAAAAUAAGCUUAAAGCUUUGCAUAAAAUGCCAUGAUGAAGACUUGUUUGAUUAGUCAGAAUUCGAAUUUAAUGGCAGUGUAUUUUUUUGUUGCUAUUAAACUUAAAAAAUUCUCCAAACAUGUACCAGCAAUAAUUAGCAUAAAACACCUGUACCCUUACUGUGUUCAAUUCUAAAGUGCAUUCUGUGAAGUGCAAUUCAUCUCAAUGAGAAAUAUAACCAAUUUUAUUGUAUUUAUAGAAUGUUUAAUUUGUAAAUGGGGUACGUUACUAUUGAUAAUUGCAUGGAACCAUUUCUGCAAUAUGUAUGUUUAUCUUGUGAACAAAACUGAAGUGAUUUUGAAAUAAAUGUGUGAAAUGCCAUCUUACUGCCCAAUAUCUGAAUUAAAACAUAUUUGAGUUCCUUGAUGUAUUAGCAGGUACCGUAUUUACAGCAUGUCUAUUCUGUUACUGAGACUGAAAGUAUUUGUAAGUUUCCAAAUUUGUAUUUUGAUUAACACACAAUGCACAUAUGUUAGAUUUGUGUCCAGAUGCAUCACAAUUUGUGCUGUGGCAAAAGUGAAAGAAAAAUUGGCUGGGGAGUGGUUUGAGAGUACACAACUGGGCCGGUGCUAUAAGGGAGUGUAAACAAAAUGAACGUUUAAUAUUUAACUGAUUAGUGAAUAAAACACUAAUGUACGCUAGGUGCAGCAGCAUUAUGGGUAAAGUAUGGAAAGCUAUUUGAAAGAGGUGUCAAAUUUGGACAUGCUUCUUAGAAACAGAUUGUUAAGCCAGUGCUUUUACACUUCAUGGAUAAGUUGGGCCAGGGAUCAGUUUCAAAGUAAAAGGUUGGCUAUUUAGUACAGCUGAGAAUUUUUAUUCCCAGCUCGACACGGUGGAUGGAUUGAAUUCCAAAAGGGAUUGUAAUAUAUGAUACUUUUUAAAGAUACUGAGAUAGUGCAGUUGAGAUAAAUCAGCUAUAUGAUUAUAAUGUUUACACUUCCUCCCCUUGUAAAGCACUUUAAACUAUAUCAUCUUCAUGAUAAAUAAGUUGUGUUGAGCUUGUAUUCUUAAUGGUUUUCCUUUUCUUCAUACCCUUCAACUUGUCCUGCAAUAGAAUUUGCAGCUGAUACAUGCCCUUCCUUUAAAUGAUACAUUAAACUUUGAAACCAACCUGAAACUUAUUCCUCUAUGCUAAUGGACUUUAGAGACAAUGACCUUAUUGCUGUUUGUUGCCUUGAUUUUUGAUGAAGUUGAAAAAAGAUUGCCCAGUGUUGUGGGCUAAUUAGAAUUCUUCCCUGUAACUUAACUUUUGAGGAGUUUGUUGCCAUUGUUGAAUUGUACCUGUUUUAUAACCUCUAUUUCUUUGGUUAAAUAUAAUGUUUUAAAUCUGACUUGAUUGUAAUUUUUUGCUUUACCAUGGUUAACAAAUCUGUCACCCAGUAGAUCAUUUAAAUUUCCUUUGUUUUGCUCAGGGUAAUUUAAUGUAAUUGCCAGUCAAUCCACUACCAUCGCUUUGGGUGCCUGGCAAAGUUGUGCGACUGUCCCACUAUGUAUGAUUUUGGAAAUAAAAGCGAACGUCAGGGAAACGUUACUGGCUCUUCACUUAUGGUAGUUAUUCAGCCUGCUACAAUUCAGCUGUCGUCGUAUAUAUUUAGGAGUCAAUUUAUCAGGCCAUGGCAACCAGUAUCAGCUGGUUUGAAAACGUGACCAGUUCCACCAUUUGUGCAGUGAAUAACCAAAUGGGAACUAUCUCAUUUCCGUUAUAGUAGUUUACUUGAAGUUAAAUUUAUCGUGUUGAAUUGACAACAGUAACUAGUGGACAAGAUAAAUGGAAUGGAACAAUAUUUGCAUAUAGCGCAAUUGUCAAACAUGUUUUCCCUGGGGUGAUGCACACUUGCGGUCCACUAAGGCAGCUCCUCAGAGUGAGCAGUUAAAAAGGAUCCUUGCAUCUUUCUCCACACCUUUAGUAAGUCCACUGUGGAAAAAGUUGGGUGUCUCCUCCACAAUGCAGUAUUCAAGCUAUGCCUACCUGCUAGUUUCUCCCUUUUUAUAUUUAAUCAGAUUUAAUGUUUGUUGCAACCUUUCAAUGAUAUUUCUAGUACUUGGAAUUUUUUUUAAAAAUCCUUCAAACUAACUAGAUGCAACUACAUUGUUAGAUACGUGUAUUUCACUUUGAGAUCUAUUAGUAAAUAGAUUCUAUAUGAUCUGAUCACAGCCUAUUUGGGCCAUAUAGACCUAUUGAAUAAUUACUUUGGUUCUGUUUUCACUAAGGAGGACAUAAAUAAUCUUCCAGAAAUAGUAGGGAACAGAGGGUCCAGUGAGAUGGAGGAACUGAGCGAAAUACAUGUUAGUAGGGAAGUGGUGUUAGGUAAAUUGAACGGAUUAGAAGCAGAUAAAUCCCCAGGGCCAGAUGGUCUGCAUCCUCGAGUGCUUAAGGAGGUAGCCCAAGAAAUAGUGGAUGCAUUAGUGAUAAUUUUUCAAAACUCGUUAGAUUCUGGACUAGUUGCUGAGGAUUGGAGGGUGGCUAAUAUAACUCCACUUUUUAAAAAAGGAGGGGGAGAGAAACGGGAAUUAUAGACCGGUUAGCCUAACGUCGGUGGUGGGGAAACUGCUGGAGUCAGUUAUCAAAGAUGUGAUAACAGUGCAUUUGGAAAGCGGUGAAAUCAUCGGACAAAGUCAGCAUGGAUUUGUGGAAGGAAAAUCAUGUCUGACGAAUCUCAGAAUUUUUUGAGGAUGUAACUAGUAGAGUGGAUAGGGGAGAACCAGUGGAUGUGGUAUAUUUGGAUUUUCACAAGGCUUUUGACAAGGUCCUUACAGGAGAUUAGUGUGCAAACUUAAAGCACACGGUAUUGGGGGUAAGGUAUUGAUGUGGGUGGGGAAUUGGUUAGCAGACAGGAAGCAAAGAGUGGGAAUAAACGGGACCUUUUCAGAAUGGCAGGCGGUGACUAGUGGGGUACCGCAAGGCUCAGUGCUGGGACCCCAGUUGUUUACAAUAUAUAUUAAUGACUUGGAUGAGGGAAUUAAAUGCAGCAUCUCCAAGUUUGCCGAUGACACGAAGCUGGGUGGCAGUGUUAGCUGUGAGGAGGAUGCAGGGUGACUUGGAUAGGUUGGGUGAGUGGGCAAAUUCAUGGCAGAUGCAAUUUAAUGUGGAUAAAUGUGAAGUUAUCCACUUUGGUGGCAAAAAUAAGAAAACAGAUUAUUAUCUGAAUGGUGGCCGAUUAGGAAAAGGGGAGGUGCAAUGAGACCUGGGUGUCAUUAUACACCAGUCAUUGAAAGUGGGCAUGCAGGUACAGCAGGCGGUGAAAAAGGCGAAUGGUAUGCUGGCAUUUAUAGCGAGAGGAUUCGAGUACAGGAGCAGGGAGGUACUACUGCAGUUGUACAAGGCCUUGGUGAGACCACACCUGGAGUAUUGUGUGGUGUUUUGGUCCCCUAAUCUGAGGAAAGACAUCCUUGCAAUAGAGGGAGUACAAAGAAGGUUCACCAGAUUGAUUCCUGGGAUGGCAGGACUUUCAUAUGAAGAAAGACUGGAUGAACUGGGCUUGUACUCGUUGGAAUUUAGAAGAUUGGGGGGCUGAUUGAAACGUAUAAGAUCGUAAAGGGAUUGGACAGGCUAGAUGCAGGAAGAUUGUUCCCGAUGUUGGGGAAGUCCAAAACGAGGGGCCACAGUUUGAGGAUAGAGGGGAAGCCUUUUGGGACCGAGAUUAGGAAAAACUUCUUCACACAGAGAGUGGUGAAUCUGUGGAAUUCUCUGCCACAGGAAACAGUUGAGGCCAGUUCAUUGGCUAUAUUUAAGAGGGAGUUAGAUAUGGCCCUUGAGGCUACGGGGGUCAGGGGGUAUGGAGGGAAGGCUGUGGCGGGGUUCUGAGUUGGAUGAUCAGCCAUGAUCAUAAUAAAUGGCGGUGCAGGCUCGAAGGGCCGAAUGGCCUACUCCUGCACCAAUUUUCUAUGUUUCAGGUAGCCCUAAUGAAGGGUCUUGGCCCGAAACGUCGACUGUACCUCUUCCUAGAGAUGCUGCGUUCACCAGCAAACUUUGAUGUGUGUUGCUUGAAUUAACAGCAUCUGCAGAAUUCCUCGUGUUUGAGCUAUUUUUCGUUAGGAGUUUGAGAAUUGGUAUGUCACCUAAGACUGGCAAAUUUCUGAAAGAUGUAUCAAAAGCAAUGUGACUGGUAUGGAGGGGUCGCUACAGGGGAUCAGAAAAGGCUGCAGAAAAUUGUAAACUAGCCAUCUCCAUCGUUGCCACUAGUUCGCCAGCAUCCAGGACACCUUCAAAUCGCCGCAUCCAUCAUUUAAGGACCCGUAUCCCCAAGACAUGCCCUCUUAAUGGUAGGAGGAGGUACAGGAGCUUGAAGGGGUACUCAACGUUCCAAGAACAACUUCCCCUACACCAUCAGAUAAUCUGACUAGACAGCUCGUGAAUAUCAUCUCACUUUUUUCUCCUUUUGCACAAUUUAAUUUAUUAUUUUGUAUACUUAUAAUUAUCGGUUUUACCUUUGUGGGCCGAAGGGCCUGUAAUGUGCUGUAGAUCUUCUAUGUUCUAUUACUAUACUGCUGCCGCAAAAACAACAAAUUUCACUACAUAUGCCAGUGAUGAUAAACCCGAUUCUGAUUCUGAUCCAUCAUGAAUAGCAAUGCCUAAAUUUUGCGUGGUAAGAUUUGCAGAUGACCCAGAACUGAGUACUGUUUUAAUUAACAAAGGAUGACAAUUUUGUAUCUUGCUUUGGAAUAACCAUUUCUCUGCUACACAAUAUAAAAUUGAAGAUGUAUUUGCUAUGUGAUGGAAAUCUAAAUAUUUCUAUGCAAGGCCACCAACCUUUCAUCUGGGUUUCUUGAGUGUUUUAGGGAUACUUUAAUCAUAUUUAGAAAGUUAGUGCAACACACAUCAAAGUUGCUGGUGAACGCAGCAGGCCAGGCAGCAUCUCUCGGAAGAGGUACAGUCGACGUUUUGGGCCGAGACCCUUCGUUAGGACAAAAAGUUAUCUUUUCUAACUUGAUAUUCAGAUCUAGUGGUUUUUCACUUCUGAUCUUUCAUGAUUAAACCUGUUAUGACUAGAUCAAAGUAAUUCUGUAAAUAUAAAACAUGAAUUUUGGAUGGUUGGUUUAUCAGGAAGCUGACAGUGCUCUUGUCAUUUAAUGCACAUCAUUAAGUUUUUCCAAUAAAUGCUGCUGGUUGCAAUUCAGCAGUGGGAGUGCUUUGAUUUCUGCAUCGUGGGAUAGAGAUGCUAGACCCUGACAGUGUUUCAUGUAGAUUAGACCAGUGUAAGAUUACCUGAUAUAUACAUAUAUACAUGCUAUACCUGCACAAUUGGGGCAUGCUAGUGAAGCCUUGGAGUGAUUGGAAUGAUAACAUGAUCUAAGGUGGUAGUUUACUGAGUUUGUUUUAUUCAGAGUUUACAUAUGUUGUGGCAGUAGGUAUGUAGGAAUGGGUGUAUAACAACAAACUGAUACGAAUUGUAAAUAAGACAGGUUAUGAGCCAACCAAUCCACUAUUUAUUCAAGUGAACGCUUUAAAAUUUAGAGAUUUCGUAGCUUUUAAAAUAAUACAAAUUGUGUAUAGAGUAAAAAAUGGACAGCUACCACAAAGUAUCCAAAGGUUGUUUAAAAUGAGAGAAAGUCAACAUGUUUUGAGAGGAACAUGUAUAUUUCAAAUACAAAGGCUAAGAACAAAUGUAAAAAAUCAUUGUAUUUCAGUCAGAGGGGUGAAUCUAUGGAACAGUUGUGAGAAUUUAAAAACAUGCACCCCACUUAAGUUCUUUUAAAAUUAUUUUAAAAUAAUUUAAUGAACAAAUAUAAAAUACAUGAUUUAAGUGAAUGGGAGUAAUGUAAAUAAAUGAUACUUGGAAUUGGAUUUUGUGUUAAAAGAUUAUGAAAUUUUUUGUCUUGAUGUCACGAUUGACGCCAAAUAUGUUGUUCUAUAAGUAAGAGGGGUAGGCUUAAUAAGCUGUAGCUUCAGCCUACACCUUUUUGGUCUGUUUUAAAGAGUAUCUGUUUUUUGUUGUAAUUUUGUCCUAUGAAAUCAUCUUUGAAACUGAUGCUUUUUGUUAUGUUUGUGCUGACCAAAAUAAAUUUAUUUCAUUCAUUCAUUCAUUCAUACAUAAUAGUUUGGGACCUCUUUAUUGAAUUCCAGAUGAAUAACAUAAUUUAAAUUCCACAGCUACCAACAGUAUUUUGAAUACUGUUUUUCAGUUAUCCCGUGUUGGUGGUAUUUGUCUUAAUAACCUGUUAAGGUUCUUGAUCUUGGCUGUUUUCUCUAAUAGUCCCUACCUUAGCAA